rnacentral:rRNA from 1 species
UUAUAUUUGAGAGUUUGAUCCUGGCUCAGGAUGAACGCUGGCGGCGUGCCUAACACAUGCAAGUCGAGCGAUCUCUUCGGAGAGAGCGGCGGACGGGUGAGUAACGCGUGGGUAACCUGCCCUGUACACACGGAUAACAUACCGAAAGGUAUACUAAUACGGGAUAACAUAUGAAAGUCGCAUGGCUUUUAUAUCAAAGCUCCGGCGGUACAGGAUGGACCCGCGUCUGAUUAGCUAGUUGGUAAGGUAAUGGCUUACCAAGGCAACGAUCAGUAGCCGACCUGAGAGGGUGAUCGGCCACACUGGAACUGAGACACGGUCCAGACUCCUACGGGAGGCAGCAGUGGGGAAUAUUGCACAAUGGGCGAAAGCCUGAUGCAGCAACGCCGCGUGAGCGAUGAAGGCCUUCGGGUCGUAAAGCUCUGUCCUCAAGGAAGAUAAUGACGGUACUUGAGGAG